rnacentral:lncRNA from 1 species
GCUGUAAAGACACUGCAGUUUAUUCCUAAGAAAUCAGGGAGACGUUAAUUAAUAGGAGCUUAUGCACAAUACCCAUCUUUAUAAAAUGUCUAUCCAACCUCCCAGCUGCUCUUCACAAACAUUCGGCCAUCCUGGUUGUAGAGCCUGCUGUCAAUGUUUGAUCCAGAAGUGUUGAGGUAUCUACAACCCGGUCACAGCAGGUGGAAGCGGCAAAUAGGCUCUCCGUGUACUGCCAACAUUCAGUGUCCCAGCGAAUCCUGCUGCUUGGACAGGGGCCUCGGCUAUCCCACUUGCCGACCACUUGCAAGAGUUGGCCAGGGGUGCAGCCGCCAUCACAACCAUCGAGUCUUUUAUGGUUUCUGUCCCUGUGAACCUCAUGGACGCUGUCACCCAAUGAGACGCAUUUGUGAGAGAAUAAAUUAGUGUUCGGCCUUGACGCUGGUACUUGUGG